CACGUAGGGCGCGAGCGUUGUCCGGAUUUAUUGGGCGUAAAGAGCUCGUAGGCGGCUUGUUGCGUCAGCUGUGAAAACCCGCAGCUCAACUGUGGGCUUGCAGCUGAUACGGGCAGGCUUGAGUUCGGUAGGGGAGACUGGAAUUCCUGGUGUAGCGGUGAAAUGCGCAGAUAUCAGGAAGAACACCUAUGGCGAAGGCAGCUCUCUGGGACGGUACUGACGCUGAGACGCGAAAGCGUGGGGAGCGAACAGG
rnacentral:rRNA from 1 species